UAACACUUGGAGGAAUCAUCAUCAAUCACCUUUGUUCCUUUCAUUUUACCACCGAACCAAGCUUAAGGAAAAUAAGAAAAAGAGAGAUCGUGGGUGAGGGAGGAAACCGCGACUUCUUUGGCUUUCCACCUUCGAUUUCUCUCGAUUUAUAAUUCCAAUAAAAAAUGUAAUCCGGUAAAAGUGUUCGUAUCCUCCUCUUCUACACGUUGGCGUUAUUUUUGUCUGGUAGAAGUUGAUGGUGACGUAGCUCUCCUUCCUCUUGACUUCGACCAACUGGAGUUCUAGGAAGUACAGAUGAUUUCUAACGUUUUCUUCUUCAGCAGCUUGGUCAAAAAGCUCCUCCAGAAUUUUCGUUGACUUUGAUUUCAUACGGAGGUUCGGAGAUUCAGUAAGAAGCUGCAGAUGAUUAGUACAUUUACUUGUGAUUCCUGUUGUUUUUAUAAAGUUCCCUCGUCCUUGUUGCUUUAGGGUUUUUAUUUUAUCCAGAGGAAUAGGUAUUGUAUUUGAGUUUUACAUUGAAUUUAAUCGUAUAACAUCUAUUAUUAUUAGUAAUUAUGUGAUUAUUAUUAUUUGAA